CCCUACGGGGUGCAGCAGGCGCGAAAACUUCACAAUGUGCGAAAGCACGAUGAGGGAAUCCCAAGUGCUUGCUCGUAAGAGUAAGCUGUUUUUAUGUCUAAAAUGCAUAGAGAGUAAGGGCUGGGUAAGACGGGUGCCAGCCGCCGCGGUAAUACCUGCAGCUCAAGUGGUGACCGCUAUUAUUGGGCCUAAAACGUUCGUAGCCGGUUUAUUAAAUGCCUGGGUAAAUCGUGUAGCUUAACUAUACGAAUUCCGGGUAGACUGAUAGACUUGAGACCGGGAGAAGCUAGAGGUACUCCUGGGGUAGAGGUGAAAUUCUGUAAUCCUGGGGGGACCACCAGUGGCGAAGGCGUCUAGCUAGAACGGGUCUGACGGUGAGGAACGAAGCCCUGGGGCGCAAACCGGAUUAGAUACCCGGGUAGUCCAGGGUGUAAACGCUGCUUGCUUGAUGUUAGUUGGGCUCCGAGCCCAAUUAGUGUCGGAGAGAAGUUGUUAAGCAAGCUGCCUGGGAAGUACGAUCGCAAGAUUGAAACUUAAAGGAAUUGGCGGGGGAGCACAGCAACGGGUGGAGCGUGCGGUUUAAUUGGAUUCAACGCCGGAAAACUCACCGGAGGCGACGGUUACAUGAAGGCCAGGCUGAUGACCUUGCCUGAUUUUCCGAG
rnacentral:rRNA from 1 species